rnacentral:misc_RNA from 1 species
AGAUGUGUAUAAGAGACAGGUGAGUCAUCGAAUCUUUGAACGCACAUUGCGCCCCUUGGUAUUCCAUGGGGCAUGCCUGUUCGAGCGUCAUUUGUACUCUCAAGCCUUGCUUGGUGUUGGGUGUUUGUCUAUGCUUAGCCUAGACUCGCCUUAAAUAUAUUGGCAGCCGGUAUACUGGCUUGAAGCGCAGCACAAUUGCAAUUCAGGUUGGCUUAUUAGCAUCCAUAAAGAUCAUCAACACUUUUGACCUCGGAUCAGGUAGGGAUACCCGCUGAACUUAAGCAUAUCAAUAAGCGGAGG